CCCAACGGUUGUCAGCUGUCCAGGCUAACACAAUGCCUGGGACAGUGUUACACUGUUGGAAGAGCAAGCGCUGCCCAGUGAGGUCUGGCUCCACGCACUGUUUAGUGUUGUGGUCGCAUAACCUCUGGGCAGCAUUUUGCACCUUUGAGAGUGGAGUGCCCCCUCCUGUGGAGUUGGUCCUAGUCUGGAUGCAAACCUU
rnacentral:snoRNA from 1 species